rnacentral:misc_RNA from 1 species
GAAAUGCGAUAACUAGUGUGAAUUGCAGAAUUCCGUGAAUCAUCGAGUCUUUGAACGCACAUUGCGCCCCCUGGUAUUCCGGGGGGCAUGCCUGUCCGAGCGUCAUUGUUGCCCAUCAAGCACGGCUUGUGUGUUGGGUCGUCGUCCCCUCUCCGGGGGGGACGGGCCCCAAAGGCAGCGGCGGCACCGCGUCCGAUCCUCGAGCGUAUGGGGCUUUGUCACCCGCUCUGUAGGCCCGGCCGGCGCUUGCCGAACGCAAAUCAAUCUUUUUCCAGGUUGACCUCGGAUCAGGUAGGGAUACCCGCUGAACUUAAGC